AUUAAAUACAUGGAAAUCAGGUCAAGCUGUAGGAUCUGUAGGUUAAUGAUGAGGAUCUUGCUAUAAAUUUAAAACACGGUUCAAAUACUUAGAUUGAAAUUGUCUGCAUUAAGGCACCUCCAGGCACAAUGUUUAAUUACUAAUAUAAAAAUGUAGACAGUUCUUAAAAAAUAUCCAAGUUUAUAUGUUUUUAAACUUCACAUUAACUUGCAUGGAAGAAGCACUGCACAUUUUCCAGAACAAUGUUCAACAUGCUUUUACGGGGCUUUCCGUACUGAGCAUGAAAAAGGCGUCACUUUUGAACUAACAACUUAUGCUCUUUGUAUGGUAGAGAAAACAAGUGUCCGUGUGCUAUGUCCCUGCACACAGUUGAUGAUAACAAGCUGUCAGCUCACACCUCACUCACAUUGGCACCACAGCUUUUAUAAGUGUGCAUAGCAGGCUGUGCUGAG